UACAGGGGGGGCAAGCGUUGUUCGGAAUUACUGGGCGUAAAGGGCUCGUAGGUGGCCAACUAAGUCAGAUGUGAAAUCCCUCAGCUUAACUGGGGAACUGCGUCUGAUACUGGAUGGCUUGAGUUUGGGAGAGGGAUGCGGAAUUCCAGGUGUAGCGGUGAAAUGCGUAGAUAUCUGGAGGAACACCGGUGGCGAAGGCGGCAUCCUGGACCAAUACUGACACUGAGGAGCGAAAGCCAGGGGAGCAAACGGG
rnacentral:rRNA from 1 species